ACUUAACUACAGUGCUUCCAAACCGUUCUCACAGAUUCCCGGAACGCACGCAAAGGAUGCCUUCUCCUUCCCGGUGAUUCCCAGUCUACUGAACCACUGGAACAGCCAGCGGCCACCCGGGACUACACUGCCUGGUGAACGCCCCCCAACCGGCCUCCGGCCAUAGUCGCUCCAGGCUAUCUUGCUAGUGCCACGGAGGCCCUCUCUGGGCUCCAACCCUGGGACGACCUCGUCGCUCAGGCGCUCCCCAGAGCUGCAGACAGCCGGCAGGUGCGCGCUAUAAGCGCGCCACGGAGCGCCGGAACCACCAGAGCCGCUGGAGUCUAUGGCCCGGAAGCCUGGACAGGAGACUGCAGCUGCGAAAGUGGCGGAUCACGCGCGUAUACUCGCCGCCACAACCAAGCCGGGGCCGGGGCCGGGACCCCAAGGGGACCUGAGGAGGCUGCGCCGGAGGAACCGCCGCGGGAGCGCGCUCGGGGAAAGGGCGGAGGGCGCUGCUUACCCAGCUCGGCAGUGUCUGUCUGUCCCUGCGUCCCCUCUUCGUCCGCUCAACUGGCGGUUGCCCAGGGCAGCGUGCGCCCAGUCCUGCCUGACGGGAGUCACACUGGCAGCCAGUUCCACAUGUAACCCAGGAUCAUUAAAAUCCUCGGCCCGCGCCGGCCGCUUGCCUGUAUUCCUGGGGUGGCCCCCGAAUGGUUCCUCGCGUCUUCGUCCCAGUCGCUUGUGCGCAGGGACCCGGUUGUGAAGGGGCGUGGGGUCCCGCAGGGUCCCUCCGGGGCGGCUCAAAGCCGGGUGUCUUCAGUUUUCUCCAGCACGACUUUCCGGGCUGCUCUGACAUCAGCGAUCCCGCGCUUCCUUCCCUUCUGCUCCUGGCUUGCUCGGCCCUAUUUCCUCCAGGAACCGCUGCCAGCUCUGUCUGCGACCGGGCCCAUAAGCUCCCCGCGGCUCCACGGCUCACGGGUCCACCAGAUCUGAUCGCUCGUCUUCAGCUGAAGGAUCCCAGCAGCUGCUCCAGCCGCCCCCACUCGGCUCUGCGCGGACAGUGCUGCGCGCAGCGCGGCUCAGCUCAGCUCCGGUGGCGGCGCCCUCAGCCGGCCUCCUAUAUUACCGCUCAGCUCAUUAUCAUAGAGGCCGCGUUAACCCCCUCCCCGCCCACGCGCCCCGCCCGCGCAGACCGAAUACCCUAGCUGGUCCACCCAAGAACCCGGCAGAGCUACGGCUCUGCAGGCGUUCUGCUCGCUCAGUUUGGACCACCAGACACUGUCAGUAGUCAAGGGCCCAGAAAGGUUGUACCAGGGUCUAGGGACUCAUGUCUUGGGGCCUGGUAAGCCAGCUGGCUAGGCUUCGGGAGGGGAUCAGAGUGAUGAGAGCACCCCAUCCCCUCGCGUGGCGUCACCUGUCACCAAGCAAAGCCUCCCCUCCUUUCUCUUCACCUGUGAGCUAGGGGUGAGUGUGGAGGGACAUAUAUUACUGAUGGGCUUGAGAUGGGGUGUCGGAUUUCGGAACAGCAAAUUUCUCUACCCUACAAAUUCUAGAAAGCCAACGAGCUGUCAAAAGAGGUUUGAAGUUGUUGAUAAUUAUUUCUACAUUUUAAAGAGGAGUCUGGCUUUGCAUCUCCGGUUUCCUGUUCCAUUGGAAAAGGAGGUAGGGGCUGACUCGGGUGGGUGCUGUGGAAACCAUAGUACCAGGAGCGUUUGCAUUAUCCAGACCCGCGAGCCCGCCUCGUACUGGAGGCAGAGGGUAAUGGCUAGAAGAUUAAGACAACUUUAAUAUCCCCAGAAAAGAGGAUUUUUCAGUCCUGGUUGCUUCCGCGCUCACGGGUCUUGAUUCCUUGGUUCGUAGUCUGUGAAUCUGCAACUGCGGCUACGGCUUUCCCGCGAGGGCCUGUGCAAGCUAUACCCCUGCAAGGUCUCAGGGUCUUCGAAUUCCCCGAUGGAGAUUGAACACACCGAGUUUACUCAACACAUCAAAGUGUCUGACAAAUGUCCCCUACUGCCCUCUUGUGGCCAUACUCUUCACCGGUAUAAAAAGAAAGAGGGAUGUGGGAUGCUUCUGAAAGCAUAUAAAAACAGUUGACUGAAUUCUCAGUAGGAGAGAGAGAGAGAGAGAGAGAGAGAGAGAGAGAGAGAGAGAGAGAGGAAGAAGAAGAAGAAGAAGAAGAAAGAGGAGGAGGAGGAGAAGAGAAGAGAAGAGAAGAGAAGAGAAGAGAAGAGAAGAGAAGAGAAGAGAAGAGAAGAGAAGAGAAGAUCACUUUCAUCAACUAUAUUAGAGACACGGGAUUUUGGGAUGUAGAGUUGGCUGUUUGGUAGUUUGGUUGGUUUGGUUUUCUUCACUAUGUAUCUCUGGCUGUCCUGGAACUCCUUACUACAAACCAUAGUGGCUAAGACCUCACAAAAAUGUGCUUGCCUCUGCCUCCCAAGUGCUAGACUCAAAAAUAUAUGCCACCACACUGGAUACCUGGUCCAAUUAGCUAUUCUUAAAAACAAAACAUGGUUACCUCAUUUAAAAACUCUUAAAUUAAUCAAUUCAUUAAUUGCCUAAAAUUUGUUUCCGGUAAGUUUCACUAGCUGUUGCCAAUUUUGUCCUUUGGAGCCACAAAGAAUCUGAAUUCUGUGAUGCACACCUAUCUUGUCCUUUGAAUUUAUGUAACAUUUAUUUUUGAUAAAAUGCCCAGUGAUUCUCA
rnacentral:lncRNA from 1 species